AAUUAUGGUGGACUGAUUGGGCAGCCUCCGGGCUGGCCGUAGCCUAGGUAACGGUAGGACCAAACCCGAUACAGUCCACCACCCAA
rfam:Vibrio sp. MEBiC08052 genomic scaffold scaffold00001, whole genome shotgun sequence.